AUUGAACGCUGGCGGCAGGCCUAACACAUGCAAGUCGAGCGAGCGGCGGACGGGUGAGUAAUGCCUGGGAAUUGCCCAGUCGAGGGGGAUAACAGUUGGAAACGACUGCUAAUACCUCAUCCAGUUGGAUUGCCCAGGUGGGAUUAGCUAGUUGGUGAGGUAAUCGCGCACCAAGGCGACGAUCCCUAGCUGGUCUGAGAGGAGGAUCAGCCCAACGGGAACUGAUGCACGGUCCAGACUCCUACGGGAGGCAGCAGUGGGGAAUAUUGCACAAUGGGGGCAACCCUGAUGCAGCCAUGCCGCGUGUGUGAAGAAGGCCUUCGGGUUGUAAAGCACUUUCAGCGAGGAGGCGUUACUCGCAGAAGAAGCACCGGCUAACUCCGGGCCAGCAGGCGCGGUAAUAC
rnacentral:rRNA from 1 species